AGGUUAAGUAAAUAAGGGCGCACGGUGAAUGCCUUGGCACUAGGAGCCGAAGAAGGACGGGACGAACACCGAAAUGCUUUGGGGAGCUGUAAGUAAGCAAUGAUCCAGAGAUAUCCGAAUGGGGGAACCCACUAUCCGUAAUGGGAUAGUAUCCAUUAGUGAAUACAUAGCUAAUGAGAAGGUAGACGCAGGGAACUGAAACAUCUCAUUACCUGCAGGAAGAGAAAGAAAAAUCGAUUUCCUGAGUAGCGGCGAGCGAAACGGAAGGAGCCCAAACCAGUCAGCAUGCUGAUUGGGGUUGUAGGACUACGAUGUGAGAGUGAGUUUUAUAGACGAAUGGCGUGGGAACGUCAGCCAAAGAGAGUGAAAGCCUCGUAGUCGAAAUGGAAUGAGCCUCUAGUAGCAUCCUGAGUACGGCGGGACACGAGGAAUCCCGUUGGAAUCCGCCAGGACCAUCUGGCAAGGCUAAAUACUCCCUAGUGACCGAUAGUGAACAAGUACCGUGAGGGAAAGGUGAAAAGCACCCCGGGAGGGGAGUGAAAGAGAACCUGAAACCGUGUGCUUACAAGUAGUUAGAGCCCGUUUAUGGGUGAUAGCGUACCUUUUGUAGAAUGGACCGGCGAGUUACGAUAGCGUGCGAGGUUAAGUUGAAGAGACGGAGCCGAAGCGAAAGCGAGUCUGAAUAGGGCGAGAUAGUACGUUGUCGUAGACCCGAAACCAAGUGACCUACCCAUGUCCAGGUUGAAGGUGUGGUAAGACACACUGGAGGACCGAACCAGGGCACGUUGAAAAGUGCUUGGAUGAGGUGUGGGUAGCGGAGAAAUUCCAAUCGAACUUGGAGAUAGCUGGUUCUCUCCGAAAUAGCUUUAGGGCUAGCCUCGUUGUGAGAAUCCUGGAGGUAGAGCACUGUUUGGACUAGGGGCCCAUCUCGGGUUACCGAAUUCAGAUAAACUCCGAAUGCCAGAGAUUUAUAAACGGGAGUCAGACUGCGAGUGAUAAGAUCCGUAGUCGAAAGGGAAACAGCCCAGACCACCAGCUAAGGUCCCAAAGUGUCUGUUAAGUGGAAAAGGAUGUGGGAUUGCUUAAACAACUAGGAUGUUGGCUUAGAAGCAGCCACCAUUUAAAGAGUGCGUAAUAGCUCACUAGUCGAGUGAUCCUGCGCCGAAAAUGUACCGGGGCUAAACAGACCACCGAAGCUGUGGAUUGACGUGAAGAGCGUCAGUGGUAGGAGAGCGUUCUAAGGGCGAAGAAGCCAUACCGUAAGGAGUGGUGGAGCGUUUAGAAGUGAGAAUGCCGGUAUGAGUAGCGAAAGACGGGUGAGAAUCCCGUCCACCGAAUAACUAAGGUUUCCUGGGGAAGGCUCGUCCUCCCAGGGUUAGUCGGGACCUAAGGCGAGGCCGAUAGGCGUAGUCGAUGGAUAACAGGUUGAUAUUCCUGUACUUGUCACAACUGAUUGAGUGAUGGAGGGACGCAGGAGGUUGAAAGAGUCCACUGAUGGAAUAGUGAGAUCUAAGCAACGAGUUUGAAGAUGAGUAAAAUGCUUGUCUUUAUAAGAAUGAGUUGUGAUGGGGGCUUGAAAGGAAACGAGUAGAGUCUAUCUUAUCAAUCACACUGCCAAGAAAAGCUUCUAGCGAGGCUGUGACAACCCGUACCGCAAACCGACACAGGUAGUUGAGGAGAGAAUCCUAAGGUGAGCGAGCGAACUCUCGUUAAGGAACUCGGCAAAAUGACCCCGUAACUUCGGGAGAAGGGGUGCUGAUGGAAGCAUCAGCCGCAGUGAAUAGGCCCAAGCGACUGUUUAUCAAAAACACAGGUCUCUGCAAAAUCGAAAGAUGACGUAUAGGGGCUGACGCCUGCCCGGUGCUGGAAGGUUAAGAGGAGUGCUUAGCGCAAGCGAAGGUAUGAAUUGAAGCCCCAGUAAACGGCGGCCGUAACUAUAACGGUCCUAAGGUAGCGAAAUUCCUUGUCGGGUAAGUUCCGACCCGCACGAAAGGCGUAACGAUUUGGGCACUGUCUCAACGAGAGGCUCGGUGAAAUUAUAGUACCUGUGAAGAUGCAGGUUACCCGCGACAGGACGGAAAGACCCCAUGGAGCUUUACUGCAGUUUGAUAUUGAGUGUUUGUGUGACAUGUACAGGAUAGGUAGGAGCCUAAGAGGUGGGGACGUCAGUUUCCAAGGAGGCGCUGGUGGGAUACUACCCUUGUGACAUGAACCCUCUAACCCGAGUCAUGAAGACGUGACUGGAGACAGUGUCAGAUGGGCAGUUUGACUGGGGCGGUCGCCUCCUAAAGAGUAACGGAGGCGCCCAAAGGUUCCCUCAGAAUGGUUGGAAAUCAUUCGAAGAGUGUAAAGGCAGAAGGGAGCUUGACUGCGAGACGGACAGGUCGAGCAGGGACGAAAGUCGGGCUUAGUGAUCCGGUGGUACCGUAUGGAAGGGCCAUCGCUCAACGGAUAAAAGCUACCCUGGGGAUAACAGGCUUAUCUCCCCCAAGAGUUCACAUCGACGGGGAGGUUUGGCACCUCGAUGUCGGCUCGUCGCAUCCUGGGGCUGAAGUCGGUCCCAAGGGUUGGGCUGUUCGCCCAUUAAAGCGGCACGCGAGCUGGGUUCAGAACGUCGUGAGACAGUUCGGUCCCUAUCCGUCGCGGGCGUAGGAAAUUUGAGAGGAGCUGUCCUUAGUACGAGAGGACCGGGAUGGACACACCGCUGGUGUACCAGUUGUUCUGCCAAGGGCAUCGCUGGGUAGCUAUGUGUGGACGGGAUAAACGCUGAAAGCAUCUAAGCGUGAAGCCCCCCUCGAGAUGAGAUUUCCCAUCUGAGAAGAGUAAGACCCCUGAGAGACGAACAGGUAGAUAGGCUAGGAGUGGAAGUGCUGUGAGGCAUGGAGCGGACUAGUACUAAUCGGUCGAGGACUUAACCAAAA
rnacentral:rRNA from 2 species